rnacentral:misc_RNA from 1 species
AAGUCGUAACAAGGUUUCCGUAGGUGAACCUGCGGAAGGAUCAUCAAUGAACUUUGCAACCCAUUGAACUUUUGUGGGCCAGGGGGGCGUGGUGCUGCUGCUGCUGCUCCCGCCUGCCUGCCCACACUAGUUUGUGAUAAUAUUGUUUGAACUUGGGAAUAGCCACCUUAACGCGCUGUGGGGGGGUUAGUUAGUGUGGGUUAGGCCCGUUUUGGUGCUAUUUUACCACUAAAAACCGGGGUAAAAAAAAGCGUUGAAAAUAAAAAAAAGUGCGGGAAAAAUGACAACUUUUAACAAUGGAUCUCUUGGCUCUU